AAUGAGCGCUGGCGGCAGGCCUAACACAUGCAAGUCGAACGCCCCGCAAGGGGAGUGGCGCACGGGUGAGUAACGCGUGGGAAUAUGCCCUUCGGUUCGGAAUAACACAGGGAAACUUGUGCUAAUACCGGAUACGAUCUACGGAUGAAAGAUUCAUCGCCGAAGGAGUAGCCCGCGUAGGAUUAGCUAGUUGGUGAGGUAAUGGCUCACCAAGGCGACGAUCCUUAGCUGGUCUGAGAGGAUGAUCAGCCACACUGGGACUGAGACACGGCCCAGACUCCUACGGGAGGCAGCAGUGGGGAAUAUUGGACAGUGGGCGAAAGCCUGAUCCAGCCAUGCCGCGUGAGUGAUGAAGGCCUUAGGGUUGUAAAGCUCUUUCGCCAGGGAAGAUAAUGACGGUACCUGGAAAAGAAGCCUCGGCUAACUCCGUGCCAGCCGCCGCAGUAACAC
rnacentral:rRNA from 1 species